GAAAUGCGAUAAGUAAUGCGGAUUGCAGAAUUCAGUGAGUCAUCGAAUCUUUGAACGCACAUUGCGCCCUGUGGUAUUCCGCAGGGCAUGCCUGUUCGAGCGUCAUU
rnacentral:rRNA from 1 species